GACGAACGCUGGCGGCGUGCUUAACACAUGCAAGUCGAACGGAAAGGCCCUGCUUUUGUGGGGUGCUCGAGUGGCGAACGGGUGAGUAACACGUGAGUAACCUGCCCUGGACUUUGGGAUAACUUCAGGAAACUGGGGCUAAUACCGGAUAGGAGCUCCUGCUGCAUGGUGGGGGUUGGAAAGUUUCGGCGGGUGGGGAUGGACUCGGGGGUUAUCAGCUUGUUGGUGGGGUAGUUGCUAACCCAGGCUUUGGCGGGUAGCCGGCCUGAGAGGGUGGCCGGCCACAUUGGGACUGAGAUACGGCGCAGACUCGUACGGGAGGCAGCAGUGGGGAAUAUUGCACAACGGGCGGAAGCGUGAUGCAGCAGCGUCGCGUGCGGGAUGACGGCCAUCGGGUUGUAAACCGCAUUCGCCUGUGACGAAGCGUGAGUGACGGUAAUGGGUGAAGAAGCACCGGCUAACUACGUG
rnacentral:rRNA from 1 species